rnacentral:tRNA from 1 species
GGACAGUCCCCUGCGGUAUACGCCGAUAAACCCCCAAAACUUGAAUGGCAUUCAAGAGGUCAGGAGUUCGAUCCUCCUCGGCUCCACCA